rnacentral:lncRNA from 1 species
UUUUACUCAGAUCAGUGUUGGGUGUCAUCUGUCCCCCUCUGCAUGGUAAGCACCACAAGGACAAAGGCUUUGUUUGGUCCUCUACCGUUUCCCUGUCAACUGGGCCAGCAUCUGACACCUGGCAGUUCUUGGGAAAUACCUGCACACGAAUGGAGGCAAGGCCUCUCUCCAGAGGAGGACGCUGAAGAGGUGAAAAGUGAGCCUCCUGCUCUCCCUUUGAGGCAAUUUGGCAUAGCCUGGGUUCUCAGAUCAGACGGAAGUGGGUUCAGUUCUUGGCUCGGAGCGACCUUAGACCGCUGGUUGAAAUCCUUCUGGGCCUGUUCCUGCCUCUGGACAGUGGGAAUGUACUGAGACUACCUCUCAGGAUUGCCACUACAGGAGGCGAGAGGGACACCUAACCUCAUCUCCGCUGGGCACAGAGACGGCUUCUCAGAAGAAGCGAUAUCUACACAAAGUCCUAAAGACCAAGGGGUCAGGCACAGCACUGAGUGCUGGAGAUGCAAGAAUCCAUCCAACCAACGCAGGCAGAUGGCAACAAGUGCCAGGAGGAACACACAUCAGGGCAAGGGGAGAGGCGUCCCUGGCUGUGGCUGGCGAAGGGUAAUGGCAAGUGUCUCAUUGAACAUGGAGCCGUGUGGGCAUUUGAGUCCCGGAAGGGGCCAGCCUGGGAGUCCUGAGUCUCUUGUGGUGACCAACAUAAAUAAAGAUAAAGGUGCUUCUGCUUCCUCUUCCCUUCCUGGGCAAGUCAGCCUUAAAGCUGUCGAGUGGGUCAGAACAAGGUCGGCAUCUGUGCAGGGAGAGGGAAGCACAGUCGCCCAAGGGGGUCAGAGUCCAAGCAGGACGACAAGGGUGUCCCUGCAAGAUGGUAGCCUGGCCUGGAGCGUCUGAGGCUGAUGGCAGGUGUCAGGGACCCAGCCGGAGGAGGAAGGCAUGCAUUUGUGCAGGCUGUGAGCCUGGAGACGCAGGGUCUGAGCAGGGAGGAGGUGGUCCCCAUGGAAGGGUGGCCAGGCAUGGGUAUCAGCCCCAGCAGGGUGAGGAGAACAUCCGCUCGUAGGGCAGCCUGGUGUAGGAGGAAGAGAACCUCCACGAAGGGGCGUCUGAGCCCGAGGAGCGUGAGCAGGGCAACACGUGGG